GUGAACGAGCGACGCCGCGUGCGGGAUGAAGGCUCUCGGGUCGUAAACCGCUUUCAGCAGGGAUGAAAUUGACAGUACCUGCAGAAGAAGCCCCGGCUAAAUACGUGCCAGCAGCCGCGGUAAUACGUAUGGGGCAAGCGUUAUCCGGAUUCAUUGGGCGUAAAGAGCGCGUAGGCGGAUUGUUAAGUCAGAUGUGAAAACUGGGGGCUCAACCCGCAGCCUGCAUCUGAAACUGGCAGUCUUGAGUCUGGUAGAGGAGUGUGGAAUUCCCAGUGUAGCGGUGAAAUGCGCAGAUAUUGGGAGGAACACCAGUGGCGAAGGCGGCACUCUGGGCCACGACUGACGCUGAGGCGCGAAAGCUAGGGGAGCAAACAGGAUUAGAUACCCUGGUAGUCCUAGCCGUAAACGAU
rnacentral:rRNA from 1 species